rnacentral:rRNA from 1 species
ACGCUCGACACCUACGGGAGGCAGCAGUGAGGAAUAUUGGUCAAUGGACGCAAGUCUGAACCAGCCAUGCCGCGUGCAGGAUGACGGCUCUAUGAGUUGUAAACUGCUUUUGUACGAGGGUAAACGCAGAUACGUGUAUCUGUCUGAAAGUAUCGUACGAAUAAGGAUCGGCUAACUCCGUGCAAGCAGCCGCGGUAAUCUGAGCGGCUGGCAAGGC